CAGCGCGUAGCUUAGUCUGGCUAAAGCGCCUGCUUCGGGAGCAGGAGACCGUGUGUUCGAAUCACACCGCGCUGACCA
rnacentral:tRNA from 1 species